AUUUGUAUAGUGCAGUGGUAACACGCAGAUUUAGUAUGCCAGUGGCUGGGGUUCGAGUCUCAUCUCAGUUU